rnacentral:rRNA from 1 species
UACGGAGGGUGCAAGCGUUAUCCGGAUUUACUGGGUUUAAAGGGUGCGCAGGCGGAUAUGUAAGUCAGUGGUGAAAUCUCCGGGCUUAACCCCGGAAACUGCCGUUGAUACUAUAUAUCUUGAAUGCUGUGGAGGUAAGCGGAAUAUGUCAUGUAGCGGUGAAAUGCUUAGAUAUGACAUAGAACACCUAUUGCGAAGGCAGCUUACUACACAGAUAUUGACGCUCAUGCACGAAAGCGUGGGGAUCAAACAGG